UACGAAGGGGGCUAGCGUUGUUCGGAAUCACUGGGCGUAAAGCGCAUGCAGGCGGAUCGUUAAGUCGGGGGUGAAAGCCCGAGGCUCAACCUCGGAACUGCCUUCGAUACUGGCGAUCUUGAGUCCGGGAGAGGUGAGUGGAACUCCGAGUGUAGAGGUGAAAUUCAUAGAUAUUCGGAAGAACACCAGUGGCGAAGGCGGCUCACUGGCCCGGUACUGAC
rnacentral:rRNA from 1 species